rnacentral:lncRNA from 1 species
CAAUAUUAAAAGAGGAAUGAUAGUACCCAAAAGCACCAGAUGAUUUAGAAUAAUAUAUAUUACUUAGACGUGACGACCCAUAAUCCACUGAUGUUCCACGAAUGUUAACUCGCACAGAAUAACCCCGACCACUCGUACCAAAACAAUAACCACCACAACCCAGUCUAAGAUAACGAUAGAACACACAUAAUAACUAAGAAGCAGGCUUCACCGCCUCUGCAACAGAACAUCAACUCGUUUAGUCAACUUCCUCGAUCUUGGGGCCAGCACCGCCGGAAGCAGCCGGGGUGUCAUCGUCCAUGCCGCCCUCCAUGUCGGCACCAGCACCCUGGUACAUCUUGGCGAUGAUGGGGUUGCACAGAGCCUCCAGCUCCU